CCCUGCCUGCAGCAAGCCCCUGCACACUGAGGACACCAAACUGGAGAGAGAAGCCUGCACAGGCUGGGCAAGAGUCAAGGGCCAGCACUCCAUCAAUCAGAUUGGUCACAGAGACCGACGUCCAGUGGCCGAUUCUACAUGUCAAAUUGGCGCUGACAGACAACUGCACGGGACACACCAACCCGACUCGAGUCACCAACCUUGCUCGACUGCCCGACGGCAUCCGACGGCAUCCGACGGGAUCCGACGGCCAAUAAUCAGGUGUGUAUCCUUGGCAUCCUGAUCCCAGGGGUGUGCUUAUCCAGUCUGCCAGUGUGCAAGUAAAGUGGGGAAAAUAUCACCAUGCAAUUUUCAGUACCUCAGACCACACCAGGAAAGUACUGAGGAGAGGUCUUCUACAACCAUCACCCAAGUUUCUGUUUGACCUCCAUAUUGAAGACCUGGGCCAUUUAGAGUGAUGGAAAGCAAGCUUUAGGUGUUGCCAAUCGAUUAUAUGAUGUCUUUGGAGCCAGAAGGGCACAAUAUCAGGGUGCGGUUAGAGCCCGAGCUCCCUCCAUCUGCGGAGAGGAAGACCCUCGCGAGCAGGCGGGAGUCGCGGUGACGGUCCUGGGAUGAUUGGGCGUAGAUCCAGAGGGAGGACUGGAGGACCUGGAUACUCUUUCCACGUUCCUGCAGAAACUGGAAGGUGAGGCUAAGGCUGGCCGUGUCACCCCUCUCUGACUCAUCUAUGAAACAGAGAAAAGUGCAGCUUCUCCAAAAGUUGCUGUUUGGCUAUUUCUAUCAUCAUCCUCUCCUCUGCGCCUUUGUCCAUCCCCGGCAAGCGGCAGGACGCGCACCCCGGGGAGCAGUCGACCCAGAGCCCCUUGAACAGCAAGGGUGCCAGAAAAAGAAAUGUCACAAGUGAAAAGGACGAUGUCAUCCUCCUGUAUGAAGUUAAUAAAAGCAUUGUGGCGAAAACACGCGUGGAGUUCUCGGGACAGCAAAUAAAAAACUUCUAAAAAUGUUUCUUUCUGAGUUGCUGUUCCCCCCAAAAUGUUGUCAGCUGCUGGAGAAGUGAAGGACCGGAGCUGAGGAAGAAGCAGAGUGGUGUCUCGCCCUCCUGAUGCUGAAGAUAAAUGGGGUAAUCCACCAAAAGUGGUGACACGUUGGAAGGACGCACCAAUGAGCGCACCGGGGCACCGCGGAAAUCACUGGCCGAGCACCCGACUGGAGCGCAACUCGUUAAAUCGACGCCGUAGGGUUACGCGUAGCCUACGCCGUAGGCUCUGCGUCGGUGUAACGCGGAAGCAUAAAUCAGCCUUCACACAGCACAUGCUCACGCGUAUUCUGGCACAAGUUCUGGCACAGACAUGA